UACAGAGGGUGCGAGCGUUGUUCGGAAUUACUGGGCGUAAAGAGCGCGUAGGCGGCACGGUACGACCGGUGUGAAAGCCCCCGGCUCAACUGGGGAGGGUCACCGGUAACGGUCGAGCUAUGAGUGCAGGAGAGGGAAGUGGAACUCCGGGAGUAGCGGUGAAAUGCGUAGAGACCCGGAGGAACACCAGUGGCGAAGGCGGCUUCCUGGUCUGCGACUGACGCUGUGGCGCGAAAGCUAGGGGAGCAAACGGG
rnacentral:rRNA from 1 species